ACUACUUUUUAUGAAAAGUGUGUUUUUGGUUAUCUCUGUCUGUGGAAUAGAGUGGGUCAAGGUAGAAAAGAAACUGGUUUAAAGCCUGGUCUGUUAAUACCCCUGUUACUCAACAUGCAUAACUGCUAUGGAGGUUUACAGCUGCUCAAGUCCUUGUACUCCAGUAACCUGUUAUCCGAUCUGACUCAUUGCCAUCUUGCUGUAGAUUAGGUGUACGACCUGAAGAUAACUUAGUCCGGUUGCAGCCGCUAUCAAAUCAAGAUACAACAAAUGUCACUCUUACACACCGGUCAUCACAAUCCCUUAGCAACCCAGUGGUGGCUCCUUGAUCUCAUCAUAAAUUUAGAAAAGUUGGUCAAGACAUCAGCACUAGGUACUUUCCAGGAAAUGAACUAAAAAAUUGAAGAAAUGUGUGAUAAUUGGUGAAUUAAGUUAAUUAAUUUAAACUCUGCCUAGUGCAGUAUACUUACAGUCCUUGGUCUCACAAUGGAUGAGAAUUUUGCGUUUUGACGAGAUUUUCCAGUUCGUAAUACGAAGAGCAUGAAGAGGGUGUUGGUAGGGACAAGGAGACCCCCAGGUGGAGUCGGCCGGCAGCCCAGUUGGAGAUCCGAUCCCAUUGUUAGGCUCUCCGUAGAUCUUCACAGAGGUCUUAUUUAUGUUCAAAGUACAAAAUGUCCAAAUAGUCGUCAGUAGCUAGAAUUUUGGUCUUACAAGUGCCAAAAAUUAUAUAAAUAAUGAGAAGCUCAAAAUUAUGAUUGGAAAAAUUUGUGAAGGUUUGCUUGUUAUUUUGCAUAUAUAUCUCGUUCUUAUGGAACAAU